rnacentral:lncRNA from 1 species
AGAGAGAGAGAGAGAGAGAGAGAGCAACAAGAUUCAGAUUCAGAGAAGUGCAGCAACAAGGUUCAUGGGUUUAGAGAAGGGGGAAGCAACGAGCAGCAGAGGGAGAUAGGCAAGGGAGCAGCGGCAUGAAGAUUAGAGAAGAGCAGCAGCAAAAGGGACGAGGGGAGGAGCAGCAGCAGUUGGGAAGAGGCAAGGGAAGGAGGAGGAGUAGCUGGUUCGAGUUGAGAAGUGGAGGAGCAGCAGCAAGGCGAGGGAAGAAGGAGCAGCAACAAGGCAUAGGAGAAGAAGAGCAGCAGGGGCGCGAGGUGUGGGGAAGCGCUGUGGUGCUGGUAACGCGGUGUGGAUGGAUGAUGGUGGAUUCGGGGAAGGAGAAGAAGAUGGUGGCACUGGUGGAUGGCGCAAGGUGGUGAUGUGGUGGGAGGUGCUGGUGGCGCGCCGCCACGCCGGCCUGGCCAAGGCGGCGGCCGGAGGUGGAGAAGGGGGUGUGAGGGAGAGAGUUGAGUAGCCAGGCCCAAUUGCAAUGGAGAUGUGGCUACGGAUUUUGAUCCCCUCCCGAUCAGAUCUGAAUGUUUUCACUUUGGCCCUCCUUCUUCCUUCUUUCUUCCCAAGUUGGUCCUCCCAUCUUUAGUUUGGCCCCUCGGUUACUUCUUUCCUUCACGCUCAGCUCCUUGACUCCAUCACUUGAUCAUUUGUAGUAGAAGAGUUUUGUGCCUUGUCGCACUUUUCUGCAAAAUAAACAAGUGACUAGUCAACAAUCCUUUUAUAUGAUUUUCAUGCAAUAUUUGAUAAUUCUUAGCAAGAAUAGAUGGACACAUCUCAAGAAAUGGUGAAUUUGUGUGUCAAAAUUAUAUAUAUGAAAUGUGCUUAUCAAGUUCCCCCACACUUAAAUCUUUGCUUGUCCUCAAGCAAAGGAAUAUGAUAAGAGCAAGAUAGUGAAUAGUGAGCUGACUAGAGAAUGCCAAGUGAAGUAGAUCUCUAAACAAUGCAUGCUUUGGACUUAGCUAGUGCAAAUCAAUGGUCAAGAGUGCUACAAAGCAAUAGGAUACUAGUAGACUCAAUCAUUUUAAACUUUUACAAUGAUAAAAGUGGAUCAACAAGUUCAAAUGAUGAUUGUGCCAAAGGUUCCUAAAGAGAGCAUGAUCCCAAGCACAAAAAAGAACAUAAACUUGUGAUCAAAUCACUUAUUUACAGACGUAAAGCAAUGAUAAUAUUUUAUUGAUCUCACCAAAGGAACAUACCAUCGAUCCCGAGAACAUGGUUUACACCUGGAUCGACCAAUUAUUAAUUUAGUUUUUUUGUUUGUCUCCCCAAAGGAACAUACCACCGAUCCCGAGAACAUGGUAUACACUUGGUUCGACAAUUACAUUUUUUUAUUAUUAAUUACUGCCCAAGCUAACCCGAUUUCACAUGCCACCGACCCCAGGAACAUGACAUGCUACUGUAGGUAGUCAGAUUUAUUUAUUCAUUAUUACUUAUCUUAAAUGAACAACGCAUAAGCACAAAAAUAGGAAUCAUCACUUCUCCAUGUCUUGUUCACAUGCUACCGAUCCAGGGAACAUAGCAUGCUAAUCCAUAGUGGUUAGGUGAUUGCUCUCAAUGGAACACAUUAGGCACAAACUCAGCAUCUGACACUUAAUGAUCUAGGUGUAUCGAGGUAAAAGCAGAAAAUGAUUAAGUUUUCUAGUGUACUAGGGAUUUGAGCACUCAAAACUAAUAACUUUCACUAAUUUCAGCAAAGCAAGCAGUAUGUAGAUCACUAGUUUACAAGGCAUUCACGAUUCAGUUCACAUAUUCACAUCAAGCAUCAUAUGUCAAAGGUAAAAUUCAGUGGGACGACAUUUAAGAAAUGGCUCAAGCAACCCAAAUAUCAAAUGAUUUCAGCAUGUAUCAAUGGAUGAUAUAUUAAGAUUUGGGUCAUGAAAUAGCUCACCGGGUUUAUAUAGGAAGUAGCACUCGCUUAACGCUCUCUAAACUGCAGCUCUUCUCUUUUUGCUUCUCUAUCCCCAUGCCUGCUCCAGCUUCACUCCUCUUCGCGUGUGCCCAUUGCUUCUCCUCAUCACCAUGCUGUGAAUCCACCAGGAUCCCAGGGAAUGUCAUCUCGAACUCGGUCAACUCGCAGUAAAUGGUACACAAGCAUCAACCUGAAAGAACACUCAACAACCAAGCCAAUACAAGUGACAGAGAGAAUGCCCUCUAAGUCAUCGAUAGAGUACCCUAUCAUAUAAGUAUAUCUAUUGAGCAAAUCAGGAACAUGCAUCAACAACAAGUCACAUGGUGCAUAGGCAAUAUCAGCGAUAUGACAUGUCUUGUCCAAAAAGCCGAGAUCAUACCUGAGAUAGUUAGGAAGAAGCUUCAAGACUACCUCAAUUGAAGAUACCAAGUGAGGUGUGGUAGUAGAAAUUUCAACCGGACUCGUGUCAACAAGUGAAAUAGUAGAGCUUGGCUCCUUGACAUCUGAAUCCACCUCACCAUACUCAACCAUGAAGCUCUCCAUCUCAGGCUCCAGUGUUGAGGAAACAAUGCGGCUAACAUCAUCGAAGGUGAACUUCUCCAUAUCUGGCUCUAGCAACACAUGAUCAAUAUCAACUAAAGGUGACUCCUCAAUAUCAAAAACAACUAACUGCAGCUCUGGCUCAUCCAUGGAAGAAUCAUCACAAUGCAAAACCGAAUCUCCAACACUAGUAUCCAUAUGAUCUGUAGCGUGUGUGUCAACUAGAAUGGUGUCAUCAUCGUCAAAGAUAAUCCAUGCAAGCUCGAUCUUGUCACACUAAGAUAGAGGUUCAGGGUUCUGUGUAAGAAUUGGUGGCUGAGGUGUAGUGAUUUGUUGCAAGCAAACCAAUGAAUCAGACAUGGGCUUCUUAUUGUACCAUUGAAGUUGCUGGAAAGCUAUGCUCUCAAUUAGCAGAAAAGCUUCAUCAAGUGUCUUGUUUGUAAUAGCUCCACCCGCUGCCAUAUCGACAUACGCUCGAGUGUUCGAAGUCAAUCCUCUAUAGAAUAUCUGCAACUCUAACCAUCUCUCGAGCCCAUGAUUAGGACAUCUCCUGAAUAAGGCUUUGUAUCUCUCCCAAGCAUCAUUCAAGCUCUCUGUCAGGACCCCAAUCCUAAGUCACACCGAUCUAGCAUGUAACACAUCAUAUCACUUUGCGGCCUCACGCACGGUAUUCCCACGGGUGCCACCUUACCUGGCCCGGGACCGUUUGCGCCUUUUGGCUCACGUAUAUGAUAGUGCCGCUAGCAUCCAUAUGACAAAGAACCCGGGCUGACAUGGCUAGUCGUGAACCCAAAGUGGCACUAACUUACAAGGACAGGCAUACAUGACCCAGCAACGAACGUGUCGGUCAUCAGCGAGUGAAUCCAGGCUGUAGCAACUGGGCUAGCAGGACUCCGGUAAACCGGGCUGUAGCAGGCUAACAGGACUCCGGUAGACACCGCGUGACAUUUCCCCGAAGGGACAGACACAGGAACGAAGAAGGUCACAUGCCGGCCAGCCUAAGUGUUUCGGAGCAGUAGAAAGCUACCAAGGCUCAGUGGAAGCACUAGGAGACAUUUCCCGGUAAGAGAGGCUACCAAGGAUAAACAACUAGAUAGUCAGAUCCCACACAUACCAAGCAUUUCAAAACAUGCACACAAUAUGCUCGAUAUGUGCAAAUACAACAUGGCAUCAGAACAUGACUCUACAACUCAAGUAUUUUAUUCAAUAGGCUCCGAGGAGCGAGAUAUUACAAGCAUGAGUCUCAUGACUCAACAUUCAGAGCAAACAAGUCAAGCACAAACGGAAGUUUAACAUGUCUGAGUACAGACAUCUACAAAAGAAAAAGGCUGAGAAGCCUGACUGUCUAUCAGAUCCUGCCGAGGGCACAAGAUCGUAGCUGAGGUAACAAGCUAAACGUCGAAGUCCACGUGGAAGUACUAGCGAGACUGAAGUCUCUCUGCAAAAACAUAAAUUAAGCAACAUGAGUACAAAUGUACCCAGCAAGACUUACAUCAGAUCUAACUACAUAUGCAUCAUUAUCAACAAGGGGAUGGUGGGGUUUAACUGCAGCAAGCCAGCUUUGACUCGGUGGCUAUCCUGAACUACGACUGCAAGUAACUCUUUUGAGGUGGCGCACAUGAGUCCACAUAUUCACCAUAUCAAUACACCACUAUGGAUCCGCUCCCGUCUUCCUACGAGAACGCCAUCCAUAGCACUCACGCUUAUCUUGCGUAUUUUAGAGUAUCCACUUUCACUUGUCUAUGAACUGUAUAGGCAACCCAGAAGUCCUUUACCGCGGACACGGCUAUUCGAAUAGAUGAUAUUAACCCUGCAGGGGUGUACUUCUGCACACACGCUCUCACCACUUACCGCCGUUUACACGACAUGUACUCGGCAACCUUCAAGUGGAAGCCCAAGGAGGGUGUCGGCCACGACCUGACUAACCACACAAGUCUCUCGCCCAGGUUUAUCGCCUAUUCGGGUUCCAUCCGCAAGGAGAUCCGGCCGGGGUUUGGCUCACGGCCCCAAACGAUGUGAGCAGGGUUCCCAAGCCCACCAUCCGGGUGCCACUUGGUACACCAUGCCACUGUGCCUAGUCUGUGCCAAGCCCACCUGUACCGGGUGCCACUUGGUAGACUACUAACACUACCUACAAACACCAGAAACUAGUUGCAACUCUUGGACAGAGAUCAUGUUGAUUAAUAAGUCAAGAGAGUCAAUUAAGGAUCCCAAUGUGUGGUAGUAGUUGUUCAUGGAUCACAAACACAGAACUCAGUUCCUGAGGACGGCUACAAUGAGACAACCCACCAUGUACUCCUACAUGGCCUCUCACCGCUACCUUUACCAAAUCGUGUUCACACACUUAGCUCACACAUAGUAGGGCAUGUUCACACGCCUCUGAUUCAUCCCCGAUGAAUCAAACCUGACUCAACUCUAAGCAGUAGCAGGCAUGACAAACAAGCAUGAAUGAGUAGGCACAACCGGGCUCAAACAACUCCUACUCAUGCUAGUGGGUUUCAUCUAUUUACUGUGGCAAUGACAGGUCAUGCAAAGGAUAAAGGGGUUCAGCUACCGCAGCAAGUAACAGAUGAAUCGAUGUUGUCCUAAUGUAGUAAAAGAGAGCAGGAGCGAGAGAGUAGGAUUGUAUCGGAAUGAACAAGGGGGUUUUGCUUGCCUGGCACUUCUGAAGAUAGUAUAGUUCUUCAUCGGUGUCAUCGAACUCAUCGUCGGAACCACGUCUAUCGAGAGGGAACAAUUACCGGCAACAGAGAAGAAACACAAUCAAUGCAAUGCACAUUAUGAUGCAUGAUCAUGACAUGGCAACAUGCUGGUGUUUUGAGCUAAUGCAGCUAGCAACAAAGUUAAAUGAAGUUGGUUUGAACCCUAAGUUCAAAUCCAAACUCCAUAUGUGAUUUCUUAAAUGCCAUUUAAUUGAAUUGUCCUAAACAGUAGUCAUAAGUUGUUCUAACAUGAAUGAAAACAGUACAAAUGGAUAGAUUGAAUUUUUCUGAUCAUUUUUCAUAUAUAAAUUAUUUCAUUUAGAGUUACGGUUGAAUUUAUAUGAAUUUUAGAAGUUUAUACCAUUUUCUGGAAUUUCCUGAAUUAAAAUUAAUCUAGAAAAUGAGUUAUGGCGUCAGCACUACGUCACUAUGACCUCAGCUGGUCAACGGGGCCGGUCCAGGUCAAAUCUGACUAGUGGGUCCCAUUGGUCAGUGUCACAGUGCUGUCUACGGUCGCUGCCGUGUGGGCCCAGUCAACGGCCACGUCAGCAUGGUCAAAACUGACGCGUGGGGCCAUCAUGGUUAAUUUAAUCUAAACAGGAAUUAAACUGUGGUUAGUUAAGUGUGUGGGGCCUAGCGUCAGUGGCACGUGGCGGUAAUUAGUGGCUAAUUAAGCCAACCACGUCAGCAAGUGGCGCCGGCGACCACGCCGACGGCGGGACCUCGCCGGAGUUGCUCGGGAUGGCGCCACAGACGGUGGUUUGCGACGGGGUUUGGCUCUACGCGGAGCUGGAGGAGUGGCGCAUCCACUGGUGGCAGCAAAUGGAGCUGGGGUGGCCUGUAGCGGCAGCGAUGGUGAGUUGGGCGGCGGUCGGAGCUCGGGUGCUCGCGGUUUUGGUGCUAUGGCCUGCGUUCGAGCAAGUAGCAGGCCGAAGAGGCUCAACGCGGUGCUGUGAGUGCAACGGGCACACGCACGGGACCAAAUGGUCACCGGAAUGUGGACGGCGACGAGCUCGUGCAGCGGCGCGGUUCGGUCUUCAAGGGGGCGACGGCUACAACAAGAAAUCGAGGCGAGGAAGAGGGGGAUUCGGUCCGUGAGCUCACCGCGGAGAUGUUGGGAUGGUCGGCGUGCUCGGAGGAGGCUUGGAGGUGACGGAAUGGCAGUGACGAUCUCGGCAGCCCGAGGAAGGGGACGGAGCCAAUGGCGGUGCUCCAAGGUGUCCGGCGUUGUGUGGCUCGGUGGAGAGGGCGACGAUGUCGUGUUGGAGCCUGGGGAGGCAUCGGAGGGGCUCGGGGGUGGCUGUGGCCGUAGUGGCAGCGGGCGGCGGCGAUGGUUGCGCUCGGGCAUGGGAGGGAGAGAGAGCAGAGGAGGGGAGAGGCACGGGAGAGAGUGAGAGGGGGCCAGGGGGUGCGUGGCAUCGUCCAGAAGAUCGGGGAGGCCAGGCAGGCAGGGAGGAGCUGGCGCGGCUCGCCUGCCCGCCGGGCACGCAACUGCUUCUCCUCCUGGCAAGAGGAAGAAGACAGUGUUGCCCCUGGUGGGUCGGGCUAGCUUUGCCCGGCUGGGCUGCUACAGUGGUGGGCUGGCUGGGCUUCCAGGUAAGUCCUUCUCUCUCCUUUCUUCAAUUCUAUUUCUAUUAUUCUGUAGUCUUUAGGGCUUUAUUAAAAAUACCUAGACAGAUCCAAAAAUCAUAAAACUUCUCAAUGCCACUGUUUGGAAUAUAACCAAUAGCAAACAUUUUAGUUUAUGAUUAUUUGAGCAGUUAAAAUAUUUAAUAGCAUUUAAAUGCCCAAAUGCAAAUACUAUAUGAUUUAAUUCAAAGCCCAAAUAUGUCAUGGAAAAAUGUGCAUCACCUCUGGCUACUGUUUACAGUAUUUCCCAUAAAUGAUGAACAUUUUUGAAAGCCAUUUGGACUUACGGAAAAUAUUUUAGGUGAACCUAGUGAAUCCUUUAAUGCUAGGGUUAGGACAAUCCCCAUUUCAAUUUUUUGUAAAAGUAAACAUGAUGCAUCACCAAAGACUAGCACUAGUGCAUUGCCAGAAGCUAGGGAUGUGACAACUCGCCCCCACUAAACAAGAAUCUCGUCCCGAGAUUCAAGCGUAGGGUAGGAUGAAGGGGGAACGCAAACUAACACAAUCUUCACGAUCCAGGUUGCACUUCAAAUGAACGUUGAUUCAAUCACCAUCUUUGUCUAGUCGUCUUGCUGUGAGAACUCCAACCCACAUGACAACGAGAGGAAAGGAAAAACUCUAGAAGGGUCGAUCUUCUCGGAGAUCGAAUCAACUCAGGAUCAACUCUCGGAGGGAGACAUGGAAACAUCUCUCGAGCUGAGACACGAAGCAUACAUCUAGAGGGAUGGAGUGGAACAGAUGACGAGGGGUUAUGUGCCAUGAUUCCAAAAUGGCACCUUAGGGAAGGUGACUUGCAGAAAUAUCCCCUUAAGUGGAAAAAGAAUUACUUUUGAUUCAGAGAUCAUUGAAACUCUUAUACCAACCUAAGGCAAAUCACAACAAUUGUUUGGCGGAGUUCGAAGGAAUGGCAUACUCGGACUAGUAUGGAUGAUGUGGAUUACCUUGUUGAAGACAACACAAGGGAUGAUUUUGCUUAUCACCGAAAAUGGAUGAGACCCAUGGUAGGACCACUUUUGAAAAUGAUCCUGAUUAGUAAUUACUGAGAAGGUAAUCCAGAGUAGGGUGGCAUGAUGGCGGUGCAAGCUGGGAACAACAUGCAAAUGAUGGGAAUGAUUCUGGUAACUGUGGAGGAACCUCAUCAGUAGAGAGUGAAUCCACUGUUUGAAAGGGUUAUAGCAUAAUCGAGGAAACUGAGAGCACUAUGCAAUUAACGCCGACGAUAAAACUUAGCACUUGCGCGUGCUCUCAAGAACUUUGAGCAUUUCCAUAUUCAUCAAGGUUUUACCAAUAUCCGUGUCAAGGAUCCUGGCAACACAACAUACUACCCUGAUGAAUGGUGAUGGACGAUGCAGAUGCAAAGGAAGAGAACGCUUUCUCAGAUUUCACCUUAGCGAGGCCAAGGAAACAAAAUCUGGAUGAUCAACCGAGAGACAUUUAGCACUCCGCUUCUAAUGUUCUCCUUGAUGUGCUAGCGUAACCCAUUUAUAGAUAUGGUUUGAUAUCUAGAACAUCAAGUAAAAAGUCGGACUUCGGGAGCGCAAGAAUCCAUAAGGAAACAACUACUGGAUUAAAUCCUACGAGAUCCUUAUGGGGAGGUCGCCAACUUCUUCAAUCAAGCUACUACAAUAAUAGAUCUUCCGGCUAGGUGUGUCGGCCACGACAUCCACUUUACCGGGUUACAAAGAGACCAUUAUUAUAGUUCUUGGGAAACGUUCCAACCAUCAUAUCUGCCUGAGAUUCAGAUCUGGUUGGUGUCAGAAUAAUCCAGACUCAUCGAGUCUAGGAAGAAAAAUGAAAGUUUGCAACACAAAUCGACGAGAUGACGUUGCGAGAUUCUCGGGAAAUGAACUACGAUAGCAAGCUCCAAAACAUGAUCUGGUUCUGCUACACACAUGUGAACAUGUUGUCCCAGACAAAACAUGAUCACAUGGUAGUCUUACAAUAAAACACUACCGAGUUCCGGUGGGGAACCAUCAACAAGGAUAUCGAAGUCUUGUGCAUGAACUAGUAUUCACACAUCAACUCCUUUUCCUUGAACAAUUCAAUCAGUGGCUUGGUGUUCUAGGGAUACAUAUGGAAUGAAGGUUGUGAGCCUGUCAAACCAUAUCAUACUUCACACAUGCAUGACUGACUUGGGAUCGUACCAGGGAAACAAAAACAAUCUUUCUCGAACUCAUGGCAGCAACUUGCUCCAAAUGCACGUGAAUCAGGGAAAGUCACUUGUUUCAUCCAACAUAUUCUUCACGAAUGGGACAUGAAGAUAAUGCUUAUAAAAGUUUCCAACACUAGGUUGAUAUUCAACAUGAAUCAUGGGGUGACAAAAUGCUGCUGAUGGGCUCAACAGUAACUCAUCGGAAUUUCCAUAUCACUGGACUUCCGCCAUCAUGUGAACACGGUGAUAGUAUUGGUCAGACCAAAAGAUGUAAUGGUGUAUGCUCGAGGGAUCAACCACGAGUAAGACAACAUUACGAAUAUCGUUGGUUCUAACUUGAUUUGACGAUAGCCCACACUCAAAUCUAGGUUUGGACAAGAAAAUAGAUUCAACAACUGAUCACGGGGAUCAGUCGAUGAAGAUAUCAUCUUUCUUCAACACACACACACCCACACUCAAGGAUAUCCCUUAGUGAUGAACUAAGUCGGACAAGCUUCCAUCUUCCAACUCUCCAAGUUGUUGUUUAGCUUAACCAACUAGCUCGGGGUAUCCAACACAGAAUCUUGGAGAAUGGGUGGUUUGGAAGAAAACCAACAUGAUCACGAACUCAACAUAGCGGUCAGGUGAAACCUGGUCAUACUUCCGAGAAGAUAUUCGGAAAAUCACGAACCAUCGAUACAUUACUAAGCUUGAGAACAAUCUUGCUUUUCAGGGCAAGACGAUAUGAUCAGAGAGCGAGGGAUUGACACAAUCCUAACUCAUUGAUAGAAGAGUGCACCGAAGAUAAGGACUAGGUAGCACAAUCUAUCUUAGAAUGAUGAUUCAAAAACCAACACGCUAAGAAUGAAAUUAUUGUCCAUUAACUACCAAGCAACGGAGUUGCUAGGAGUAUUGAUUUCGCACAUCACGGUACACUUGUCGGCAUUCCGGUUACAAUAACAUGGGAACCGAGGAAUGAACAAUGAUGGCAAGAAGUAUUACUGUGUCAAGAAUUCAUAAGAGGUGGUGCAAUUCUCAUGACACUCUUGACAUAAAGAUGGUAACACUCCAAGGUAGAACAGAGCAAAAGUUGGAUUGGUAUUUUGAUCUGCAAAGUACAACUACUUUGAUCCAAUCCCGGAAAUGGAUGAGAUACUGGAGUUUGUUUCUCCUAGUCAUUCCCGAAUAGAAUGGCUUGACGGGACACAAGAGUAGUGGCAUCGAUGAACUCGAAUGCAUAACUACUCCUGACUAUUAAUCGAUAGACGAGGGCCAGAAAACAACUAAAGAGAGACAAAUCAAAGGAACACAUGUUUUUCUGAGUUGUGGAUGCAUGGAUUGGUAUGCCGAACGAAUUCAACAUAUUUCUUCCGGAUAACCCAUGCAGAAAGGUUGAACUGGCAGAGUCGCAAAAUAGAAUGGAGAACCCAUCGAGGAUACUCCUAUUGUGAUCUUUUGAUCCAACAAACUUCUGCCAUAAAGUGGUUCAUAGUAUUUGGAAGAAGGAAAUACCACGAACUUUGAGGACUAUCGCAAAGGUUACUAAUAACCUAAAGGGACGAGCAAACACUAUCAACAUGAAGUAAGUAGGGUGGAUCCUGGGUCAAGAACCCAGGAAUAGAAUGCCUACUAACUAAGUGGCAUCACGGGAUGCUUUCGAGAAUGAUGGCCAGAAUCAUCACAUUGAUAACACAAAACAUGGCUAAGUUACUAGGUGAUACUCUAGACACCUAGGGUCAUAAUAAUAGCUCCAACAUAAAUGCCAAGGCAAUAGAGUACCUCAACUCAGCAACUAGUGUGACUAACCUGGCCUAAAAGAACAUCAAAACCAGAGGAAGGGAUUUCCAAAUGCAUCAGACUAUUUAGAAACCUGGGAUGACUCGGACAACAUAACAGCUGUAAAUGCUCAAAAAGAUUUGAGACAAGCUACAAAAAUGGUGGCAUAACCACUCAGGAGCACAAUAUCAAGGUUUCGAGAUCAACAACUAACAUACGGAGGUAGAACCGAGGCUUAAAUCCAACAAGCUUAUGAAUCUACUGAUUAGUAACACGUCAUCCUGAUAGAUAGAUGAGAAUGCCUAGUUCUUAAUCCCCGUAGAAAAGAAGAGGUUGACUCGGAUCAGAAGGGCAUAGGGUAAAGGAGUAAAAAGAGCCUUACGUUCCAUCCCACAAUCAAUUCCCUUACAUAACUAAAGCAUUUCUAGACUCAACUUCGACCAGUUUGGCUUGGUAAUCCUACAGGCAGUCAGGCUCUGAUACCAAAGCUGUCAGGACCCCGAUCCUAAGUCACACCGAUCUAGCAUGUAACACAUCAUAUCACUUUGCGGCCUCACGCACGAUAUUCCCACGGGUGCCACCUUACCUGGCCCGGGACCGUUUGCGCCUUUUGGCUCACGUAUAUGAUAGUGCCGCUAGCAUCCAUAUGACAAAGAACCCGGGCUGACAUGUCUAGUCGUGAACCCAAAGUGGCACUAACUUACAGGGGUAGGCAUACAUGACCCAGCAACGAACGUGUCGGUCAUCAGCGAGUGAAUCCAGGCUGUAGCAACUGGGCUAGCAGGACUCCAGUAAACCAGGCUGUAGCAGGCUAACAGGACUCCGGUAGACACCGCAUGACAUUUCCCGAAGGGACAGACACAGGAACGAAGGACACAUGCCGGCCAGCCUAAGUGUUCCGGAGCAGUAGAAAGCUACCAAGGCUCAGCGGAAGCACUAGGAGACAUUUCCCGGUAAGAGAGGCUACCAAGGAUAAACAACUAGAUAGUCAGAUCCCACACAUACCAAGCAUUUCAAUAACAUGCACACAAUAUGCUCGAUAUGUGCAAAUACAACAUGGCAUCACAACAUGACUCUACAACUCAAGUAUUUUAUUCAAUAGGCUCCAAGGAGCGAGAUAUUACAAGCAUGAGUCUCAUGACUCAACAUUCAGAGCAAACAAGUCAAGCACAAACGGAAGUUUAACAUGUCUGAGUACAGACAUCUACAAAAGAAAAAGGCUGAGAAGCCUGACUGUCUAUCAGAUCCUUCCGAGGGCACAAGAUCGUAGCUGAGGUAACAAGCUAAACGUCGAAGUCCACGUGGAACUACUAGCGAGACUGAAGUCUCUCUGCAAAAACAUAAAUUAAGCAACGUGAGUACAAAUGUACCCAGCAAGACUUACAUCAGAUCUAACUACAUAUGCAUCAUUAUCAACAAGGGGAUGGUGGGGUUUAACUGCAGCAAGCCAGCUUUGACUCGGUGGCUAUCCUGAACUACGACUGCAAGUAACUCUUUUGAGGUGGCGCACACGAGUCCACAUAUUCACCAUAUCAAUACACCACUAUGGAUCCGCUCCCGUAUCCCUACGAGAACGCCAUCCAUAGCACUCACGCUUAUCUUGCAUAUUUUAGAGUAUCCACUUUCACUUGUCUAUGAACUGUACAGGUAACCCAGAAGUCCUUUACCAUGGACACGGCUAUUCGAAUAGAUGAUAUUAACCCUGCAGGGGUGUACUUCUUCACAUACGCUCUCACCACUUACCGCCGUUUACACGACAUGUACUCGGCAACCUUCAAGCGGAAGCCCAGUGAGGGUGUCGGCCACGACCUGACUAACCACACAAGUCUCUCGUCCAGAUUUAUCGCCUAUUCGGGUUCCAUCCGCAAGGAGAUCCGGCCGGGGUGUCGCUCACGGCCCCAAACGAUGUGAGCAGGGUUCCUAAGCCCACAAUCCGGGUGCCACUUGGUACACCGUGCCACUGCGCCUAGUCUGUCCCAAGCCCACCUGUACCGGGUGCCACUUGGUAGACUACUAACACUACCUACAAACACCAGAAACUAGUUGCAACUCCUGGACAGAGAUCAUGUUGAUUAAUAAGUCGAGAGAGUCAAUUAAGGAUUCCAAUGUGUGGUAGUAGUUGUUCAUGGAUCACAAACACAGAACUCAGUUCCUGAGGACGGCUACAAUGAGACAACCCACCAUGUACUCCUACAUGGCCUCUCACCGCUACCUUUACCAAAUCGUGUUCACACACUUAGCUCACACAUAGUAGGGCAUGUUCACACGCCUCUGAUUCAUCCCCGAUGAAUCAGACCUGACUCAACUCUAAGCAGUAGCAGGCAUGACAAACAAGCAUGAAUGAGUAGGCACAACCGGACUCAAACAACUCCUACUCAUGCUAGUGGGUUUCAUCUAUUUACUGUGGCAAUGACAGGUCAUGCAAAGGAUAAAGGGGUUCAGCUACCGCAGCAAGUAACAGAUGAAUCGGUGUUGUCCUAAUGCAGUAAAAGAGAGCAGGAGCGAGAGAGUAGGAUUGUAUCGGAAUGAACAAGGGGGUUUUGCUUUCCUGGCACUUCUGAAGAUAGUAUAGUUCUUCAUCGGUGUCAUCGAACUCAUCGUCGGAACCACGUCUAUCGAGAGGGAACAAUUACCGGCAACAGAGAGGAAACACAAUCAAUGCAAUGCACAUUAUGAUGCAUGAUCAUGACAUGGAAACAUGCUGGUGUUUUGAGCUAAUGCAGCUAGCAACAAAGUUAAAUGAAGUUGGUUUGAACCCUAAGUUCAAAUCCAAACUCCAUAUGUGAUUUCUUAAAUGCCAUUUAAUUGAAUUGUCCUAAACAGUAGUCAUAAGUUGUUCUAACAUGCAUGAAAACAGUACAAAUGGAUAGAUUGAAUUUUUCUGAUCAUUUUUCAUAUAUAAAUUAUUUCAUUUAGAGUUACGGUUGAAUUUAUAUGAAUUUUAGAAGUUUAUACCAUUUUCUGGAAUUUCCUGAAUUAAAAUUAAUCCAGAAAAUGAGUUAUGGCGUCAGCACUACGUCACUAUGACCUCAGCUGGUCAACGGGGCUGGUCCAGGUCAAAUCUGACUAGUGGGUCCCAUUGGUCAGUGUCACAGUGCUGUCUACGGUCGCUGCCGUGUGGGCCCAGUCAACGGCCACGUCAGCAUGGUCAAAACUGACGCGUGGGGCCACCGUGGUUAAUUUAAUCUAAACAGGAAUUAAACUGUGGUUAGUUAAGUGUGUGGGGCCCAGUGUCAAUGGCACGUGGCGGUAAUUAGUGGCUAAUUAAGCCAGCCACGUCAGCAAGUGACGCCGGCGACCACGUCGACGGCGGGACCUCGCCGGAGUUGCUCGGGACGGCGCCACAGACGAUGGUUUGCAACGGGGUUUGGCUCUACGGGGAGCUGGAGGAGUGGCGCAUCCACUGGUGGCAGCAAAUGGAGAUGGGGUGGCCCGUAGCGGCGGCGAUGGCGAGUUGGGCGGCGGCCGUAGCUCGGGUGCUCGCGGUUUUGGUGCUACAGCCUGCGUUCGAGCAAGUAGCAGGCUGAAGAGGCUCUACGCGGCGCUGUGAGUGCAACGGGCACACGCACGGGACCAAAUGGUCACCGAAAUGUGGCCAGCGACGAGCUCGUGCGGCGGCGCGGUUCGGUCUUCAAGGGGGUGACGGCUACAGCAAGAAAUCGAGGCGGGGAAGAGGGGGAUUCGGUCCGUGAGCUCACCGCGGAGACGUUGGGACGGUCGGCGUGCUCGGAGGAGGCUUGGAGGUGACGGAAUGGCGAUGACGAUCUCGGCGGCCCGAGGAAGGGGACGGAGCCAAUGGCGGUGCUCCAAGGUGUCCGGCGUCAUGUGGGUCGGUGGAGAGGGCGACGAUGUCGUGUUGGAGCCUGGGGAGGCGUCAGAGGGGCUCGGGGGUGGCUGUGGCCGUAGUGGCAGCGGAUGGCGGCGAUGGUUGCGCUCGGGCGCGGGAGGGAGAGAGAGCAGAGGAGGGGAGAGGCACGGGAGAGAGUGAGAGGGGGCCAGGGGGGUGCGUGGCAUCGUCCAGAAGAUCGGGGAGGCCAGGAAGGCAGGGAGGAGCUGGCGCGGCUCGCCUGCACGCCGGGCACGCAGCUGCUUCUCCUCCUGGUAAGAGGAAGAAGACAGUGCUGCCCCUGGUGGGCCGGGCUGGCUUUGCCCGGCUGGGCUGCUACAGUGGUGGGCUGGCUGGGCUUCCAGGUAAGUCCUUCUCUCUCCUUUCUUCAAUUCUAUUUUCUAUUAUUAUGUAGUCUUUAGGGCUUUAUUAAAAAUACCUAGACAGAUCCAACAAUCAUAAAACUUCUCAAUGCCACUGUUUGGAAUAUAACCAACAGCAAACAUUUUAGUUUAUGAUUAUUUGAGCAUUUAAAAUAUUUAAUAGCAUUUAAAUGCCCAAAUGCAAAUACUAUAUGAUUUAAUUCAGAGCCCAAAUAUGUCAUGGAAAAAUGUGCAUCACCUCUACUGUUUACAGUAUUUCCCAUAAAUUAUAAACAUUUUUGAAAGCCAUUUGGACUUUCGGAAAAUAUUUUAGGUGAACCUAGUGAAUUCCUUUAAUGCUAGGGUUAGGACAAUCCCCAUUUCAAUUUUCUGUAAAAGUAAACAUGAUGCAUCACCAAAGACUAGCACUAGUACAUUGCCAGAAGCUAGGGAUGUGACACUCUCGCCUUCACGUUGAACGAAAUUGAAGAUCUCAUCUCGAAUUGCGGACUACUUGUGUAGUGGGAUAUAUUUAUCCAAGAAAGCUUGUGAUAUCUCAUUGUAGAUCUACUCUUGAUCUCGUGGUAGAUCUACUCUUGUAAUACCCACAUCAUCAAUAUCAAUCAAGCAGGACGUAGGGUUUUACCUCCAUCAAGAGGGCCCGAACCUGGGUAAAACAUCGUGUCCCUUGUCUCCUGUUACCAUCCGCCUAGACGCACAGUUCGGGACCCCCUACCCGAGAUCCGCCGGUUUUGACACCGACAUUGGUGCUUUCAUGAGAGAGCGGCAGAAGAAGAGGUAGAGGAUUACAUGCCUGCCUCCGGAGACGAGGCAAGCCUCGACGACGACGAAUUCGUCGUGCCUGAGGAUCCCGUCGAACAAGAGCGUUUUAAACGCAGGCUUAUGGCCACGACAAACAACCUCAAGAAAAAGCAGCAGCAGCUUAGAGCUGAUCAAGAUCUGCUAGCCGAUAGAUGGACUGAAGUUCUUGCGGCCGAAGAGCAUGAGCUCGAACGCCCCUCCAAAAGCUACCCUAAACGCAAGUUGCUCCCCCGAUUAGAGGAGGAGGCAUAUGAACCUGCAUCACCAGCAGGCAAUACGGCUGACCGACCACCCCGUGGCCGCGACAGAGAGGCCUCUAGGCCCUCCACUAGAACCGUACCCCGGCAGUGCUCGAGAAGCACAAGGCCACAGGGGAACGCUCUGGACUUGCGAGAUAUAUUGGAGGAUAAGGCAAGACAAUCAAGAUCGAUCUAUGGAUUGCGUGGGCGCCCCAUGAUACGUGACGACAACCGUCGCGCCGGACACAGUAAGUCCGGCCGGGCCGAACACAGUAGACAAAGCUCUCUUGAACUUCGUCGUGAUAUCGCCCAAUACAGAGGCGCCGCACACCCACUAUGCUUCACAGAUGAAGUAAUGGAUCAUCAAAUCCCCAAAGGGUUUAAACCCGUGAACAUUGAAUCUUAUGAUGGCACAACAGACCCCGCGGUUUGGAUCGAGGACUAUCUCCUUCAUAUCCACAUGGCCCGCGGUGAUGAUCUCCACGCCAUCAAAUACCUCCCACUCAAGCUUAAAGGACCAGCCCGACAUUGGCUUAACAGCUUGCCAGCAGAGUCAAUUGGGAGUUGGGAAGACCUGGAAGCCGCAUUCCUCGAUAACUUCCAAGGCACGUAUGUGCGACCACCAGACGCUGACGACCUAAGCCAUAUAAUUCAGCAGCCAAACGAAUCGGCCAGAGAAUUCUGGACACGGUUCCUAACUAAGAAAAAUCAAAUCGUCGACUGUCCAGAUGCGGAGGCCCUCGCGGCCUUCAAACAUAACAUCCGCGACGAGUGGCUUGCCAGGCACCUAGGACAAGAAAAGCCAAAAUCCAUGGCAUCCCUCACAUCACUCAUGACCCGCUUCUGCGCGGGUGAGGACAGCUGGCUAGCCCGCAGCAACAACAUCAGCAAAAAUUCUGGCAGUCCGGAUAUCAAGGACCGCAAUGGCAGGUCGCGUCACAACAAAAGCAAAUGCCGCAUUAACGACGACAAUAGUGAGGAUACGGCAGUCAAUGCCGGAUUCAGAGGCUCCAAACCCGGUCAGCGGAAAAAGCCAUUCAAAAGAAAUACUCCGGGUCCGUCCAAUUUGGACCGAAUACUCGACCGCUCGUGCCAGAUACACGGCACCCCCGAAAAGCCAGCUGACCACACCAAUAGGGUCUGUUGGGUAUUCAAGCAGGCAGGCAAGUUAAUUGCCGAAAACAAUGACAAGGGGCUGCAUAGCGAUGACGAGGAAGAGACCCGACCGCCGAACAAUAGAGGACAGAAGGGUUUCCCCCCACAAGUGCGGACGGUGAACAUGAUAUACACAAUCCACAUACCCAAAAGGGGGCGGAAGCGUGCACUCAGGGAUGUAUACGCGAUGGAGCCAGUCGCCCCGAAGUUCAAUCCAUGGUCUUCCUGCCCGAUCACUUUCGAUCGAAGGGACCACCCCACCAGCAUCCGCCACGGCGGAUUCGCCGCCUUGGUUUUAGACCCAAUCGUCGAUGGAUUUCACCUCAUCAGAGUCCUGAUGGACGGUGGCAGCAGCCUGAACCUGCUUUAUCAGGAUACAGUGCGCAAAAUGGGCAUAGACCCCUCAAGGAUUAAACCUACAAAGACGACCUUUAAAGGCGUCAUACCAGGUGUAGAGGCCAAUUGUACAGGCUCAGUUACACUGGAAGUGGUCUUCGGAUCCCGGGAUAACUUCCGAAGCGAGGAGUUAAUCUUCGACAUAGUUCCAUUCCGCAGCGGCUAUCAUGCUCUGCUUGGACGUACCGCGUUUUCAAAGUUCAACGCGGUGCCGCACUACGCAUACCUCAAGCUCAAGAUGCCAGGCCCUUGAGGAGUCAUCAUGGUCAACGGAAACACUGAACACUCUCUUCGAACGGAGGAACAUACAGCGGCUCUCGCGGUAGAAGUACAGUGCAGCCUCUUAAGGCAAUUCUCGAGUCCGGCCGCUAAGCGACCGGACACGGCUAAACGCGCCCGGAGUAACCUACAACAAGACCACCUGGCACGUUCCGAGCACGCGUAGCAAUGCGGCCCCAACCCCAGCCCCUGCAAAAUUUCAAGACAGGUCCUUCGCGUACAUCAUUAUGCUCUGGAGAUACCAUGGGCAUAGGGGGAGGGGCACGACCACGAUAGGCCCAGAAUGCGGCUUAACCACACCAGGGGCUCUCAAGUGUGUCGUUCUUUUUUCUCUCUCUUUUUUUUACCCACAGGACUCUGUUCAUCAGAGGCCCUGUCCGGCAGUAGACCUGUCGAACUCACGAUGCAAUAGCCAGGGAAGGAGAAAGGCUACGACGAAUAUCCAGGUGGUCUCCAUUACGAGCAUUAAAACUGUUUAAUACACCAUUCCGCAGCCUACCCCUGGAGGGGGACAUGUUUAAUAGUCCCAUCCCUUGCUUAUCGCACCAUUUGUAUCGUUCUGCAUUCACAGCAGUAUUUCUUGAAUAAACAAUGCAGCACCUUUUUGCUUGUAAUUGCAUUUCUUUCUUAUACAUAUAUGACAUGUUGCAUCCGUACACUUUUGUACGGCUAAAUACACCAGGGGCUUAUGCUUCCCGCAUCAUGGCGUGAUAAGUCCGAACACUUCCACAAGUGCGGCACCACGAACUUAUAGCAUUAUAUGCAUCGGCUCCGAAUCAUGUCUUGGGUCAAUAGUUGGGUUUGCCCGACUCCCAUGUUUUGGUACCUUAUGUUCUGUUGUAUCGGCUAAGGUAGCACUGGGAGAACCACUGCGAUUGCGCCCCAGUGGAGCUGGGCGAGCGCCUCAGUGGAGAAAGCUAAAACUGACCGUCAUGAUGAGGCGAGAGCCGGUCGCUAUUCGAGAGGUUUUUUCGAGUCCCUAAAGACUUAUGCCGCUUAGAGCGAGGAACCGGCUUUGUCCGGCCCAGGCGUGGAUAGCGCCCCAAAUUUGGCCUUCCGAACACUAGGGGCUUCGCCGAAAUUUAAAAUUAUAGAAUUCUAUGGCUAAGUGAGAGUGUUAAAGCACUAUAAGUCCAGUUGCCUUGUUCGUUGUGUUGAGCGCCUCCCUAGAUGGACCCAAAAAUGGGAACAAGAGUGCUCAAAUUUAUCCCGAACACCCUAGCACUCGUGGCAUGGGGGCUGAAGCCGACGACUUGCCAUCUCUCAGAUUUGAUAAACGGCCACACAGAAGGUAAUAUUUUAAAUUAACAAGCGUUGCUUAGCGCAUAUGAACAAAGUUUUCAGCGCACAGGAUAACAAAAUGCGAGUCUACUCAAAUAUUACAUCUUUGGAGCACUCACCCGCAAUAAUGCGGGCACCCUUCAUGACACUCUUAUAAUACAUCUCGGGCGUGCGAUACUCCUUGCCUGGCGGUGGCGCGUCCGUCACAAGCUUCUCAGCAUCCAUCUUGCCCCAUUGCACCUUUGCGCGGGCAAGGGCCCGACGGGCACCUUCAAUGCAGGCGGAGUGCUUGAUGACUUCAACCCAUGGACACACACCCACCAGCCGCCGCACCAGGCCGAAGUAGCUCCCAGGCAUGGCCUCCUUAGGCCACAGCCGAACUAUGAGGCCCUUCAUGGCCUGUUCGGCCACCUUGUGGAGCUCGACCAGCUGCUUCAGCUGGUCGCUAAGGGGCAUCGGAUGUCUGGCCUCAGCAUACUGAGACCAGUAGACCUUCUCCGUCGAGCUCCCCUCCUCGGCCCUAUAGAAAGCGGCAGCAUCGGACACGCUGCGGGGCAGAUCUGUGAACGCUCCUGGAGAGCUCCGAAUUCGGGUAAGUGAUAGGUAAUUCACACUCACAUGCUUACUUUGCAUGAAAAAUGUCUUACCCGCCGCUAUUUUCUUCAAUGCCUCGAUUUCCUGGAGGGCCUUGUAGGCUUUGGCCUUAGCGGCUCUGGCACUCUCAAGAGCCGUUGUAAGCUCGGACUCCCGAGUCUUCGAGUCACGCUCCAAACUCUCAUGUUUUUCCACGAGAGCCUGGAGCUCUUGCUGUACCUCCGCCACCCGCGCCUCCUGCUUCUCUCACUCGGUGUGCUCCGUGGCCGCAUUACGUUCGGCCGCGGACACCGCCUCCUUCAGGGUCGCCACCUCGUUCGUGGCCCCUGCAAUACCCAUGUUAUCCUUGUCAUCCUUCUUGCAACCAAAUCCUUUUCUGUAAGGUACAAUUUUAAUAAGGUGUUACUCACCUUCCUUAUCCUCGAGCUGCUUCUUGGCACGGCCGAGCUCGUUCUCGGACCGCUCGAGGCUUUGCUUCAAAGUAUUGACCUCCGCAGUCAGGGCGGCAGAGGUCAGCAGCACAGGCUGCAAUCCCAUAUUGACAUACUUUUUUUAUGACUCCUACGUAUAUCUUUUUAGAUCCUCAGUCCGGCUUUUCUUUCUGAAUACCGAACCGAGCAUCAGGGGCUACUGUCUAUGCGGUACUAUUUUACAUAUAUCAAAAUUCUUACCUCAAAGCCUGUUAGAAGGCUGCUGCAGGCUUCGGUCAGCCCGCUCUUGGCGAGCUGAACCUUCUGAAUCACCGCACUCAUGACAGUGCGGUGUUCCUCUUCGAUGGAGGCGCCGUUGAGCGCCUCCAGCAAGCUGUCCGGCGCUUCCGGUUGGACGGAGGCCGCUGGUGUCACGGUCUUGCCCUUCUUACGCAGGGGCCGCCCGCCGGACUCCGGAGCCACUACAGGUUCCGGGGUGGAGUCUGGUGCAAAGUCCGAGAGGUUGCCCUGCGGCACCUCCAGGGCCUCCUCCUGGUGGGUCCCUUCUCGGGAUCCCACCUCGGCAUCGUCCGCAUCACGGGGGGUGGAGGUGGUCGGAAGAGAAUCCAUAUCCGACGCACCCAAGGACCCGCUCGAUGAAGCAGGAAGAUCAUCCUUGGACGGACUGCAGGGUAGUAUGCGGCAUUAGAAAGACACCAUGUGGCGAAAAGAAAAACCAUGAAGUUAUUCGGGAGUCCGGAUACUUACGAUCUCGCCAGAGGCUUGGCCCUUGGAGGCCAAUCCUCGUCGUCGUCGCACCGCGCUGGCGGAGCAGUCCGGGGGAAGAGUCCUUCCCUUCUUGGACCCUUCGGCCUCCCUCGUCGGGGAGGCCUUCCUUUUCUUCCCUCCCCCCGCUGGGGGAGAGGCCUCCUUCUUCUCCUCCUCGCCUUUGUGGGAGGAGUCUGCCUCAGAGUCAUCAUCCGAUGACACCUGAAAACGAGAACUCUUUCGAGUGCCCGUGGCCUUCUUCUUGGCCUUCUUCUCCGGCACCACGUGGGGUGCCGGAGCCAGCAGCCCCGUUAAGCGGGCGUCCGCUGGGUCUUCUGGCAAUGGGGCCGGACAGAUAGUCUGUUCGGCCUUCUUCAGCCAGUCCUGUCAAAGGAGGGGUUUAGAUCCCGCAUAGAGUCAAACUAUGGAAAACAAGUGUCCCGUAAAGGGCAAAAUCGCUUACCUCGUUAGCCGGACGCUGCGAGCUGAAUCCGCGAUCUUCGGUAGCGGAUGCGGGAGCCUCGACACCCUUAAACAGCACCCUCCAGGCCUCUUCGUACGUAGUGUCUAAGAGCCCGCUCAAAGUCUGGUGCUGCGCCGGAUCGAACUCCCACAUAUUGAAGUCCCGUUGUUGGCACGGGAGAAUCCGGCGGAUGAGCAUGACCUGGACUACGUUGACAAGCUUGAGCUUCUUGUUCACUAGCUUUUGGAUGCAGGCUUGAAGUCCGGUCAGCUCCUCCGAAUCACCCCAUGUCCGGCCACUCUCCUUCCAGGAGGUGAGCCGUAUGGGGAUGCCAGAUCUGAAUUCGGGGGCCGCUGCCCAUUCAGGGUCACGCGGUUCGGUGAUGUAGAACCACCCCGAUUGCCACCCCUUAAUGGUUUCCAUGAAGGUGCCCUCGAGCCAAGUAACGUUGGGCAUCUUGCCCACCAUGGCGCCUCCGCACUCCGCUUGGCUGCCCUUCACAACCUUCGGCUUGACACUGAAGGUCUUGAGCCACAAGCCGAAGUGGGGCUGGAUGCAGAGGAAGGCCUCACACACGACGAUAAACGCCAAGAUAUUGAGGAUGAAAUUCGGGGCCAGAUCAUGGAAAUCCAUGCCAUAGUAGAACAUGAGCCCCCGGACAAAGGGAUGGAGUGGGAAGCCCAGUCCGCGGAGGAAAUGGGAAAGAAAUACUACCCUCUCAUGGGGCCUGGGGGUGGGGAUGAGCUCCCCCUCGUCGGGGAGCCGGUGCGCGAUGUCGCUGGACAGAUAUCCGGCGCUGCACAGCUUCUGGAUGUGCCCCUCCGUAACAGAGGAGGCCAUCCACUUGCCUCCCGCUCCGGACAUAGUUGGAGAAGGUUGAGGUGAGAUGUGCGGACUUGGGCGCUGGACCUCGAGUUCACGGAGAUGGAUAAGCAAAGGAGGAAGAAGGGGUAGGUAAAAGGGUUGGAUCUUUAUCCCCUUAUAUGGGCAGACGAAAAUAUGCGUCCCCACCGGCCUGAUAAAACUCGCUUAUCUCCCAAGCGCCGCAAUCAAUGGUGCGGUUGGGUUACCCACGUCCGUAUUGAUGGGAAUUCCGGAAUAAGGGGAACACGAUCUCUGCUUCGACAAGACGUCCCAAGGAAACCGCUUCCCUAAACACGCUGAGGUGGUACAAUAAAAACAAUUCGAGUAAAGGCUUGGUAGUGGUGUGACGUCACGCCACAAAAUACGUCAGCAGAUUGAACUUGUGUAAAUAUUAUUCUCUCUACGGUGGUAUGUGGAAUUUAUUUUGCAGAGUCGGACACUAUCCUGGUGUUCACAAUCUUCUAUAAAUUAUUCGAAGAAGGAACCCGCCUUGCAACGCCGAAGACAAUAUGCGUGCCCGACUCAUCUUCAUUGAAGUCUGGUUCAGGGGCUACAGAUGGAGUCCUGAACUAGGGGGUGUCCGGAUAGCCGAACUAUCAUCAUCGGUCGGACUCCAAGACUAUGAAGAUACAAGAUUGAAGACUUCGUCCCGUGUCCGGAUGGGACUUUCCUUGGCGUGGAAGGCAAGCUUCGCAAUACGGAUAUGUAGAUCUCCUACCAUUGUAACCGACUCUGUGUAAUCCUAGCCCUCUCCGGUGUCUAUAUAAACCGGAUGGCUUUAGUCCAUAGGACGAACAACAAUCAUACCAUAGGCUAGCUUCUAGGGUUUAGCCUCCUUGAUCUCGUGGUAGAUCUACUCUUGUAAUACCCACAUCAUCAAUAUCAAUCAAGCAGGACGUAGGGUUUUACCUCCAUCAAGAGGGCCCGAACCUGGGUAAAACAUCGUGUCCCUUGUCUCCUGUUACCAUCCGCCUAGACGCACAGUUCGGGACCCCCUACCCGAGAUCCGCCGGUUUUGACACCGACACCAACCAAAUGAUCUUGAUGGCAAGGAUCGAUACCAAGCACGAGCACCAUCUCGGAGAGAGAAUGUGAACAUCAUGCACUUGAUAGCUUCUUGAGGAACUCCAUGGUACUUUACUGUAUCUGAAUACUCCAUGACUCGGAGCAAGUGCUCGUAAGGAUCCUCAUUAGGCAACCCUCCAAACUGAUGUUGUUGAACCAAAGCAAUAAGACCAGGCUUUAGCUCAAAAUUUUCCGCCUCAAAAGACGGCCAAAGUGGCCCUGUGAAAUAGCAUUGGCUGCUUGGCAUCCAAACAUCACGAAGCAUCGCCAUAUCACCACCAAGUGUAACUAUCAAUCAACCUGUAAAUAGUUCAGAUUUCCUACGCACACUCAUAAACAGUAAAUACUAGUGAGAAUGUUAGUAUCCUAAUAAGACGAAGCAGCAACAACGAAAAAAUAUAAAAGAAACGCAGAAAAUGAAAUACACGACGAAUUAAACACGGACUAAAAUAGACCUAGUCUAUAGCCUAACACGGUCACUCGACGCUAGUCCCCGGCAACGGCGCCAAAAUGAUCAAUUGAAAGUAUAGCGGGGUUUUUACGCUCCAAACUACGGAUGUUGUGUUCUCCACAGGGACUAGGCGACGACGACUAUGCUCAGCUAAAGCUAGGUAGCACAAUUUUAAGAGAUAAAUGCAGAAAAGAAGAAUCUAAACUAACAAUGAUUGUACCCGAAGAUAAUCCACCAAGAAAAUGCAAAAUAGCAAAGGAGGUUAAGAUAUUACUCACUAUCUUUUUGGUAUUUUGUUUUAUUUGAGGAAUUAAAAUACUAACACAAACAGGAGUCAAUAUCAAGUAAAGCUACAAGACGAGGACACAUUAGUAUCAAACAUAUAACAGUAGGAAGAAGCGACAAUAUAUGACAGAAUAUAAUUGUUUCAAAUCAAACACACACACGCACAUUCAUAUAUCACAGGUACAUAGCUGAUACGGGGACUACAGAACACACAAAACCACACAUAUGCGAAUAGGAUACUACACCACGGUUCAGGUUACACAAGUGACAACAGAAAUGAAAUCUUAUAAGCCACAAGAUUAGUACCCACAGAUCAACACAACAGUAUUUAACAACUAAAAAAUACUGAUAGAAUUUAACUAGUACAGCGAGAAGAAAUACACAGGGUGAACACACAUAUAUGCUGACAGAACACUAAUUACCAAAGCAAUUUCUAAUAGAUCAAUAAUCUCCCAAAUUAACAAUAUAUUUUACCAGUACCAAACUGAACAAAUAACAAGUUGCUUGCACUAGUCAAAUCUGAAUAUUACACAACCCGAAACAUUACACAGUUCUGAACAUUACACUUCUAAAGUUUGCAAUAAGUUGAGAGAGAGAGAGAGAGAGCAACAAGAUUCAGAUUCAGAGAAGUGCAGCAACAAGGUUCAUGGGUUCAGAGAAGGGGGAAGCAACGAGCAGCAGAGGGAGAUAGGCAAGGGAGCAGCGGCAGGAAUAUUAGAGAAGAGCAGCAGCAAAAGGGACGAGGGGAGGAGCAGCAGCAGUUGGGAAGAGGCAAGGGAAGGAGGAGGAGCAGCUGGUUCGAGUUGAGAAGUGGAGGAGCAGCAGCAAGGCGAGGGAAGAAGGAGCAGCAGCAAGGCGUAGGAGAAGAAGAGCAGCAGGGGCGCGAGGUGCGGGGAAGCGCUGUGGUGCUGGUAGCAGCGGUUUGGAUGGAUGAUGGUGGAUUCGGGGAAGGAGAAGAAGAUGGUGGCACUGGUGGAUGGCGCAAGGUGGUGAUGUGGUGGGAGGUGCUGGUGGCACGCCGCCACGCCGGCCUGGCCGAGGCGGCGGCCGGAGGUGGAGAAGGGGGUGUGAGGGAGAGAGUUGAGUAGCCAGGCCCAAUUGCAAUGGAGAUGUGGCUACGGAUUUUGAUCCCCUCCCGAUCAGAUCUGAAUGUUUUCACUUUGGCCCUCCUUCUUCCUUCUUUCUUCCCAAGUUGUCCUCCCAUCUUUAGUUUGGCCCCUCAGUUACUUCUUUCCUUCACGCUCAGCUCCUUGACUCCAUCAUUUGAUCAUUUGUAGUAGAAGAGUUUUGUGCCUUGUCGCACUUUUUUGCAAAAUAAACAAGUGACUAGUCAACAAUCCUUUUAUAUGAUUUUCAUGCAAUAUUCGAUAAUUCUUAGCAAGGAUAGAUGGACACAUCUCAAGAAAUGGUGAAUUUGUGUGUCAAAAUUAUAUAUAUGAAAUGUGCUUAUCACUUAGUUUGUGUGUGUGUGAGAGAGAGAGANNNNNNNNNNNNNNNNNNNNNNNNNNNNNNNNNNNNNNNNNNNNNNNNNNNNNNNNNNNNNNNNNNNNNNNNNNNNNNNNNNNNNNNNNNNNNNNNNNNNNNNNNNNNNNNNNNNNNNNNNNNNNNNNNNNNNNNNNNNNNNNNNNNNNNNNNNNNNNNNNNNNNNNNNNNNNNNNNNNNNNNNNNNNNNNNNNNNNNNNNNNNNNNNNNNNNNNNNNNNNNNNNNNNNNNNNNNNNNNNNNNNNNNNNNNNNNNNNNNNNNNNNNNNNNNNNNNNNNNNNNNNNNNNNNNNNNNNNNNNNNNNNNNNNNNNNNNNNNNNNNNNNNNNNNNNNNNNNNNNNNNNNNNNNNNNNNNNNNNNNNNNNNNNNNNNNNNNUGUUAAGUGUGAGUGUGUGUUUUGCCCAUCCAGGCGGAAGUUAUGUGCACAAAAGAGGAGAACGAUUCGAUGUGGCGUUAGGAUUGAGGGUAAUUAACUACGUAUGGAGACAUAGAGACCUUGAACAUGCAUGUGUGAGAGGUAUACAUGUAUACGUGGGAUGUGUGUGUGCGCGCGCGCGCAUGAUCGAGAUAAAAGAAAGAAGACAUAAGUCCUAAGAUCAACGACAUGGGAGAGACAGAUCGGUAUGACAAUAUGCAUGCAUGUGAGAAUGCAGGGAAGAAGGCCCGACAAUUGAGCAUGUGUUUUUGUCUUUAAGAGAUAGUGGCAUGGGCUGGAGGAUGCAUCUAUGGCGAGCAGAGGGGAUGAGGCGCAACGAUUGUGCAGAAGAGAUUAACCUAUAAAUGCAUAUGUAUGGAUAGACAUAUAUAGUGUGGGUGACAGGAAGCAAGACUCCGUGCGAGAAAGAAAUGUUGACGGAGAAACUACAGAUAGAUACAGAGAUGGAGAUGCUAGCUAGAGAGACAUUCGUUAGUUUGGGUGUCGGAGAUGACCGUCGGGUGGUUCAAAGGGUGAAGUUAUAUAUAUGUGUGAGAGGGCACUUGACUACAUGCAUGUAGAGAGAAACAUAUGUAGUGUGUGUGAUAGGAAUCAAGAGUGAGGGCGAGAAAGAAGGUUGAUGGAGAAACAGAUAAAUAGAAAGAUAAAGAUGCUAGCUAGUGUGCACUAUAGAUAGGAGUCGAGUGGAUCAGAAGACUGGGUUAUGUGUGUGGGUGUGAGAGAGAUAUAGAGAGGGUGCAUGUGAGUCACAUACAAACAAAUAUCAGAGAGAAAUGAGAUCCAGAGAGAUGGAGUUUUGUGUCUGCGAGAGAAAGAUAUUUCACAACGAGAGUGAUAGCUAGAGAGACAUAUGAGGGAACGCAAGAUAUCUCUAGGGAGAGAGGGUGUGUUUGAGCGACAUACAAGAGAACAAUGGAGAAAUAUGAGACCCUGGGAGACAGAAUUUGUGUUUGUGUGUGAGAAAGAGAUAUUGAAGAGGAAGAGUCGUAGGUUCUCAUAUGUAAGGAGCGAAAUACAUCUCUGUAUGAGGGGUGUGCGAGUGGCACACAUGGGAAUAGUUGAGAGAAAUGAGACCCCGGGAAACAAAGCUUUGUGUUUGUGUGAGAGAAAGAGAUUCCACAUGGAGAAUCAUAGCUAGAGACACAUAGCAGGGAGCGAGAUAUACUUAGAGAGAGAGAUAGAGUGAUGAAGGUCGAUGGAGAGAGUACCAUCAGUGUGUUACGAAGAUAAAAGAUCAUUGUCGACAUGCAGGUAGCACGAGAGAUGCCUGAGAGACGAUGAACGCGUAUAGGUCUAGAGAGAUAGUCCUAUAUAAGCAUGAGUGAUAGCUAUAUGAGACGAAUAUCUGGAUUAAAGGGGAUUCAAAUAUUUAAACUGGAGAUCACGACAUUGAUAAUAUCAUAAUGCAAAUUGGUGUAUCAAACAUGCAUAUUCAUUUGAGUUUGGGCACACAUGUAAUGUUAUAUAGUUUAUCAAUAUUGGUGAUCCAUAGAUUCUUCAAUUACAAACAAUGCAUGGUUUAUAUGCAAUUAGUGUCUAAACGGGAUUACACUAUAUGUUGCGUGUGUGAAACACAUUAUACAUGUUUGAGAAGUUAAAAAAAAACCCGCAUGAAACACACAUUAAUUCGAGACAGUUAGCAAGAAAUGCAUACAUUCGAUUUCAACAUAAAGUGGUUUCAAAUAUUUGAAAAUCCAAAUUGAUGGAUACAACCUUAUGAAUCUGAGAUCAUGCCAUUUGUAAACCAUAUUUAUGUAUAAAUGGUGUUGUGCUUUUGAAAGUAUAUAUGUAAAAAAAUGAUGUAUAUAGAAUGUAAUUCCAAUUGAAAAUGGAUCCCGCCCAAAAAAAAUAGUAGAAUACAAACGGGAUUCGAAUUGAGUUGGCACGGUAAACUUGCACUGUGCAAAAUUUGAACGAAGCGGGGAAAGUUGCAGUAACCACCCGAAACUAAAAUCUGCGAGAUGGAAAUCACUACUGCCUAUCUCUACCGCGCAAAGCCUAUCUGCUGGAUUUCUAUAGGUUUCGAUAGGGGUAGGUUUGUAAUUUCACCCAAACGUCUCACCCGGAUUCAUACACAGUGGGCGCCAAAACACAGUGUGCCCUCGGCCAAAAUCGACUCCUUCCCCAAUUCAUAUUCAUACACGGUGGGCACCAAAAACAAACUCUCGUCGGCAAAUAUUCGGUGUAUGCGAGAUUACCGUCCUAUCCCCAACCGACUAAUGUUGUUGUGAUGUAGUAGAAAUUUGAAACGGGGGCUAAGUUUGUAAAUUUCCUCGCAUUUGAGACAAGCGCGUCCUGACUACAUGGUUCCCCCUUUCCUCUCUACCUCCCUUUUCCCCAUUCGUACUUCGUGGGCGCUAAAACACCCUCUCCACCCCACCCUCCUCUGUCCGCCACCCCAUCCACCGCCGUCCUCCUCCAGCAUGCCGGAGCUGAUACCCCGACGCCGCCAUCCAUUACAAGAGAUCGACCUCUCUCAUCCACGCCUUCGGACCGGGAUCCUUGCAUCCUGUCCUCUCACUUCAUCCCCGCCGUCGUCCACCUUGCCGGUGCCGCUCCUACGACCGUCUCGUCCACCGCGCCCCACCGCCACCGUCUAUCCUCCUAGAUCUGCUUCCACGCCGCCGACAGCCAUCGCUACCGCAGCACCGUCAAAUUCUUACCAGAUGCGUACAUGGCGCCGCACCACAGACGAUACUCUUUCGUAUCUGCUCAACUUAUUUAUCACAGCAAGAAAAUAGAUCGCCACUGCUUUAUUCUGAUUUCUUGUCUUGGUUGCGAAGUUGCCUUUGUUCGGUUUGCACCUUUAGAUCCGCCAUGGCACGCUCAACACUAUACUUCCAAUGCUUAUGGUUUUCCCCUUUUAUAUUCCACACUAGUUAAAUCAUAGUAGACUAAAUUUCAAAAUUGGGUCAGUCGAUUUUUCAGAGCUCGCCGGAGUUCGCCGGUGCAAUCCAAGGGGCUCGGGUGGUUGUGGAGCCUAGCCAAAUGAAGAAAACUCGAUGCGGGUGGGGGGUGGGGGUGGCGGAGGAACACAGGCGGUGGGGGCCGGUGGUCCGGCCGGCAGCCCGUGUGGUGUUCUGUAUGGGAAGAAUCACAGACGAGGAAGAAGAAGGGUUAGGAGACGUAGGAUCUUCAUCCAACCGCCUAAAAUGGUCGAUAGACAGCUGGGAGUUGCAUUCUUAAUGCCCUCUGGUUCAUCAUGUGUGGGCACUGCGCAACCAACAUUUUAUUAUCCAAAAUCUGCUUGCUCUUCUUUACCAUGUUCGAUAGUGCUAGCCUGUACGUGAUCGAUAGGCUUUCAAUUACUAGCGGCUAUACAACACCGUAUUUUCAAGCCAGUUCCACUUUCCCGAUUUAUAUAUCGUCGUUAUGGUGUACCCCUGUUAUGUACACUAUGAUCUGCCUAGUUGUUGUGUGCUCUUGUUAUCAUGGUUUGGCAAUAAACUAUCUAUACAGUAUAUUAUGAACCUAUCAUCUGCCAACUAUCCUUACUUCUGGAGCCUAUUUUUUGUGUACUUGUGCCAGAUUAUAUAAAUGCACGCAUGAUAUUACAGCACACAUGAGCUCUCUCAUCAGAAUCCAGUGAUAGCACAUAAGUGUUUACAGGGGCGCCCCUAUAUUAGAAUAUCAUCUGCAUUACAAAGAUAAUCUCACAACUAUUUAUGUUUUCAUGGUUCUCAGAUAUUAUACGCAAUUACAGUGAAUAUCAGAAUCCGCGCAUCAGAAGAAUAUUGUGGAACACUGCAAUGACUUACAAAAUUGGCACCAAGGCAUUGAGUGCCAUUUUGGAAGCAAUGAAACUCGUACGCUCCCCACCUGUUGAUUCUUGUUCAGAAUAUCAUUCUAAUGACUAUUCUAACCUCGAGGAGUCAAAGGCAGAUGGCCUAUCCUGUUCACCCAUCAAGGUGCUUGUUCUAAUUUGGCAAUGUUUUAUUGAUUGCACAUAUCUUGCAUAUGUUGUCUUGCAUUUCUUCUACUUUGUUGCACCACCAUCUGCUUAGUUUACUCAUCAUAUAACUCGAGAUGCUAUGCCCAUCCAUUAUCAAUACAUAUUCCAUCUGUCGUCAUACCAUGUUUUUCCACUCAAAUGUUGUUCUUGUGCAUCAUACAUCAAAAAGGAAGAGGGUGAUUGCCGAACCUGAAGGAGCACCAGCAAAGUCCUUGAAAAACGUGGUGGUGCCGGAGAAACCAGACAGCACCCCACUUAUAUUGGCUAUACAACCAGUGACACAAAACAUAGGACCGACUCCAGCAGACUGUACCCAUACUUCACUGGCCACACCACUAGCCCCACCACACAGGACCUGCACUCCAGCAAAAGGUAUACCGAUUUCAUUUGCCAUAGCACCAGCCGUACCACAAAAAAAUCCCACUCCAGCAAAAAGUACAGCAAGUCCACCGGCUGAAGACCUAUCCCAACUGCAGAGACGGCCAAUUCCUGCAGAUUGGAACCUGUCGGUGUCAAAACCGGCGGAUCUCGGGUAGGGGGUCCCGAACUGUGCGUCUAGGCGGAUGGUAACAGGAGACAAGGGACACGAUGUUUUACCCAGGUUCGGGCCCUCUUGAUGGAGGUUAAACCCUACGUCCUGCUUGAUUAAUAUUGAUGAUGUGUGUUACAAGAGUGGAUCUACCACGAGAUCAAGGAGGCUAAACCAUAGAAGCUAGCCUAUGGUAUGAUUGUUGUUCGUCCUAUGGACUAAAGCCAUCCGGUUUAUAUAGACACCGGAGAGGGCUAGGGUUACACAGAGUCGGUUACAAUGGUAGGAGAUCUACAUAUCCGUAUCGCCAAGCUUGCCUUCCACGCCAAGGAAAGUCCCAUCCGGACAUGAGACGAAGUCUUCAAUCUUGUAUCUUCAUAGUCUUGGAGUCCGGCCGACGAUGAUAGUUCGGCUAGCCGGACACCCCCUAGUCCGGAACUCCCUCAGUAGCCCCUGAACCAGGCUUCAAUGAUGACGAGUCCGGCGCGCAUGUUGUCUUCGGCAUUGCAAGGCGGGUUCUCCCUCCAAAUAAUUUAUAGAAGAUUGUGAACAGCAGGAUAGUGUCCGGCUCUGCAAAAAUAAAUUCCACGCAUCACUGUAGAGAGAAUAAUAUUACACAAGUUCAAUCUGCUGACGUAUUUUGCAGCGUGACGUCACACCACUACCAAGCCUUUACUAGAAUCGUUUUUAUUGUACCACCUCAGCGCGUUUAGCGAAGCGGUUUCCUUGGCACGUCUUGUCAAAGCAGAGAUCGUGUUCCCCUUAUUCCGGGAUUCCCAUCAAUACGGACGUGGGUAACCCAACCGCACCAUUGACUGCGGCGCUUGGGGGAUAAGCGAGUUUUAUCAGGCUGGUGGGGAUGCAUGUUUGCGUCCACCCAUAUAAGGGGAUAAAGAUCCAACCCUUUUACAUGCGCCUUCUUCCUCCUUGGCUUAUCCCACUCCACGAACUUGAGCUCCAGCGCCCAAGUCCGCACUCCUCACCUCAACCUUCUCUAACUAUGUCUGGAGCGGGAGGCAAGUGGAUGGCCUCCUCCGUCACUGAGGGGCAGAUCCAGAAGCUGCGCACCGCCGGAUAUUUGUCUAGCAACAUCGCGCACCGGCUCCCCGACGAGGGAGAGCUCAUCCCCACCCCCAUGCCCCAUGAGAGGGUAGUAUUUCUUCCCCAUUUCCUCCGCGGACUGGGCUUCCUGCUUCAUCCCUUUGUUCGGGGGCUUAUGUUCUACUACGGCCUGGAUUUCCAUGAUCUGGCCCCGAAUUUCACCCUCAACAUCUCGAUGUUUAUCGUCGUGUGCGAGGCCUUCCUCUGCAUCCAGCCCCACUUCGGUUUGUGGCUCAAGACCUUCAGCGUCAAGCCGAAGGUUGUGAAGGGCAGCCAAGCGGAGUGCGGAGGCGCCAUGGUGGGCAGGAUGUCCCACGUUACUUGGUUGGAGGGCACUUUCGUGGAAACCAUUAAGGGGUGGCAAUCGGGGUGGUUCUACAUCACCGAGCCGCGUGACCCUGAAUGGGCAGCGGCCCUCGAAUUCAGAUCUGGCAUCCCUACACGGCUCACCUCUUGGAAAGAGAGUGGCCGGAUCUGGGGUGAUUCGGAGGAGCUGACCGGACUCCAAGCCUGUAUCCAAAAGCUGGUGGACAAGAAGCUCAAGCUUGUCAACAUAGUCCAGGUCAUGCUCAUUCGCCGGAUUCUCCCGUGCCAACGACGGGGUUUCAACAUGUGGGAGUUCAAUCCGGCGCAACACCAGACUCUGAGCGGGCUCUUCGACACUACGUAUGAAGAUGUCUGGAAGGUGCUGUUCAAGGGCGCCGAGGCUCCCGUAUCCGCUACCAAAGAUCGCAGAUUCAGCUUGCAGUGUCCGGCUGACGAGGUAAGUGAUUUUGUCCUUUACGGAAUGCUCGUUUUCCAUAGUUUGACUCUAUGCGGGAUCUAACUCCCUUUACCUUUGACAGGACUGGCUGGCGAAGGCCGAACAGACUAUCUAUCCGGCCCCAUUGCCAGAAGACCCAGCGGACGCCCACCUAACGGGGCUGCUGGCUCCGGCACCCCACGUGGUGCCGAAGAAGAAGGCCAAGAAGAAGGCCACGGGGACUCGGAAGAGUUCCCGUUUUUAGGUGCUAUCGGAUGACGACUCCGAGGCCGACUCCUCUGACCAAGGUGAGGAGGAGAAGAGAAAGGCCUCUCCCCCAGUGGGGGAGAGAAGAAAAGGAAGGCCUCCCCAACGAGGGAGGCCGAAGGGUCCAAGAAGGGAAAAAAUCUUCCCUCGGACUGCUCUGCCAACGCCAGUGACGACGACGAGGACUGGCCUCCAAGGGCCAAGCCCCUGGCGAGAUCAUGAGUAUCCGGACUCCCGAAUAACUUCAUGGUCUUUAUUUUUUGCCACACAAUGUCUUUCUAAUGCCGCAUACAACCCUGCAGUCCGCCCAAGGACGAUCUUCCCGCUUCGUCGAGCGGGUCUUUAGGUGCGUUGGAUAUGGAUUCUCUUCCGACUGCCUCCACCCCCCGUGACACGGACGAUGCCAAGGUGGGAUCCCGGGAAGGGACCCGCCAGGAGGAGGAGGCCCCGGAGGUGUCGCAGGACAACCUCCUGGACUUUGCACCGGACUGGGCUCCAGAUCCCAUAGUGGAUCCGGAGUCCGGCGGGCGGCCCCUUCGUAAGAAGGGCAAGACCGUGACGCCGACAGCCUCCGUCCAUCAAAGAGGAACACCGCACUGUUAUGAGUGCGGUGAUUCAGAAGGUGCAGCUCGCCAAGAGCGGGCUCACCGAAGCCUGCAGCAGCCUUCUAACAGGCUUUGAGGUAAGAAUUUUGAUAUAUGUAAAAUAGUACCACAUAGACAGUAGCCCCUGAUGCUCGGUUCGGUGUUCGGAAAGAAAAGUUGGACUGAGGAUCUUAAGAACAUAUACGCAGGAGUCAUAAUAAAUAUGUCAAUAUGGGAUUGCAGGCUGCGCUGCUGACCUCUGCCGCACUGACUGCGGAGGUCAAUACUUUGAAGGAAAGCCUCGAGCGGUCCAAGAACGAGCUCGGCCGUGCCAAGAAGCAGCUCGAGGACAAGGAAGGUGAGUAACACCUUAUUAAAAUUGUACCUUACAGAAAAGGAUUUUGGUUGCAAAAAGAAUGACAACGAUAACGUGGGUAUUGCAGGGGCCACUAACGAGGUGGCGACCCUGAAAGAGGCGGUGGCCGUGGCCGAACGCAAUGCGGCCGCGGAGUGCACCGAGCGAGAGAAGCAGGAGGCGCGGGUGGCGGAGGUUCAGCAAGAGCUCCAGGAUCUCAUGAAAAAACAUGAGAGCCUGGAGCGUGACUCGAAGACUCGAGAGUCUGAGCUUGCAACGGCUCUUGAGAGUGCCAAAGCCGCUAAGGCCGAAGCCUACAAGGCCCUCCAAGAAAUUGAGGAAUUGAAGAAAAUAGCGGCGGGUAAGGCAUUUUUCAUGCAAAGUAAGCAUGUGAGUGUUAAUUAC